rnacentral:rRNA from 1 species
CCACACGAGGGCGGCGAGCCUCAUCCAUGACAGUAGCACGCAGACGCGAGGAAGCACGCAUUCUUGGAUGAGUUGCCAAACGGUGAGUACACGCGUAGGUACAUGCCUUGUAGCGGGGGAUACCUAUUGGAACCAUAGCUAAUCCGCAUAACAAUGGAUGACACAUGUCAUUUAUUUGAAAGGGGCAAUUGAUCCACUACAAGACGCACCUGCGUUGUAUUAGCUAGUAGGUGAGGUAACGGCUCACCCAGGCGACGAUACAUAGCCGACCUGAGCGGGUGAUCGGCCACAGCCGGACUGAGACACGGCCCAGACUCCUACGGGAGGCAGCAGUAGGGAAUCUUCGGCAAUGGGGGCAACCCUGACCGAGCAACGCCGCGUGAGUGAAGAAGGUUUUCGGAUCGUAAAGCUCUGUUGUAAGUCAAGAACGAGUGUGAGAGUGGAAAGUUCACACUGUGACGGUAGCUUACCAGAAAGGGACGGCUAACUACGUGCCAGCAGCCGCGGUAAUACGUAGGUCCCCAGCGUUGUCCGGAUUUAUUGGGCGUAAAGCCAGCGCAGGCGGUUUGAUAAGUCUGAAGUUAAAGGCUGUGGCUCAACCAUAGUUCGCUUUGGAAACUGUCAAACUUGAGUGCAGAAGGGGAGAGUGGAAUUCCAUGUGUAGCGGUGAAAUGCGUAGAUAUAUGGAGGAACACCGGUGGCGAAAGCGGCUCUCUGGUCUGUAACUGACGCUGAGGCUCGAAAGCGUGGGGAGCGAACAGG